rnacentral:rRNA from 1 species
GAUGAACGCUGGCGGCGUGCCUAAUACAUGAAAGUCGAGAGAACGGACGAGAAGCUUGCUUUUCUGAUGUUAGCGGCGGACGGGUGAGUAACACGUGGAUAACCUACCUAUAAGACUGGGAUAACUUCGGGAAACCGGAGCUAAUACCGGAUAAUAUUUUGAACCGCAUGGUUCAAAAGUGAAAGACGGUCUUGCUGUCACUUAUAGAUGGAUCCGCGCUGCAGUAGCUAGUUGGUAAGGUAACGGCUUACCAAGGCAACGAUGCAUAGCCGACCUGAGAGGGGGAUCGGCCACACUGGAACUGAGACACGGUCCAGACUCCGACUGGAGGCAGCAGUAGGGAAUCUUCCGCCAUGGGCGAAAGCCUGACGGAGCAACGCCGCGUGACUGAUGUAGGUCUUCGGAUCGUAAAUUUCUUGUAUUAGGGAAGAACAUAUGUGUAAGUACCUCUGCACAUCUUGACGGUACCCAAUCAUAAAGCCACUUCUAACUACGUG